rnacentral:snRNA from 8 species
AAAAAAAAUCGUGUUCUUAUCAGUUUAAUAUCUGAUACGUCCCCCAUCGGGGGACUACAUAUUAAAUGGAUUUUUCGAACAGGGAGUCGGAAAUGGGGCUUGCUCCGUCCGCUCCACGCAUCGACCCGGUAUUGCAGUACCUCCGGGAACGGUGCAACACUU